rnacentral:rRNA from 1 species
AGCGUACACGGUGGAUGCCCUGGCAGUCAGAGGCGAUGAAGGACGUGCUAAUCUGCGAUAAGCGUCGGUAAGGUGAUAUGAACCGUUAUAACCGGCGAUUUCCGAAUGGGGAAACCCAGUGUGAUUCGUCACACUAUCAUUAACUGAAUCCAUAGGUUAAUGAGGCGAACCGGGGGAACUGAAACAUCUAAGUACCCCGAGGAAAAGAAAUCAACCGAGAUUCCCCCAGUAGCGGCGAGCGAACGGGGAGCAGCCCAGAGCCUGAAUCAGUGUGUGUGUUAGUGGAAGCGUCUGGAAAGGCGCGCGAUACAGGGUGACAGCCCCGUACACAAAAAUGCACAUGCUGUGAGCUCGAUGAGUAGGGCGGGACACGUGGUAUCCUGUCUGAAUAUGGGGGGACCAUCCUCCAAGGCUAAAUACUCCUGACUGACCGAUAGUGAACCAGUACCGUGAGGGAAAGGCGAAAAGAACCCCGGCGAGGGGAGUGAAAAAGAACCUGAAACCGUGUACGUACAAGCAGUGGGAGCACGCUUAGGCGUGUGACUGCGUACCUUUUGUAUAAUGGGUCAGCGACUUAUAUUCUGUAGCAAGGUUAACCGAAUAGGGGAGCCGAAGGGAAACCGAGUCUUAACUGGGCGUUAAGUUGCAGGGUAUAGACCCGAAACCCGGUGAUCUAGCCAUGGGCAGGUUGAAGGUUGGGUAACACUAACUGGAGGACCGAACCGACUAAUGUUGAAAAAUUAGCGGAUGACUUGUGGCUGGGGGUGAAAGGCCAAUCAAACCGGGAGAUAGCUGGUUCUCCCCGAAAGCUAUUUAGGUAGCGCCUCGUGAAUUCAUCUCCGGGGGUAGAGCACUGUUUCGGCAAGGGGGUCAUCCCGACUUACCAACCCGAUGCAAACUGCGAAUACCGGAGAAUGUUAUCACGGGAGACACACGGCGGGUGCUAACGUCCGUCGUGAAGAGGGAAACAACCCAGACCGCCAGCUAAGGUCCCAAAGUCAUGGUUAAGUGGGAAACGAUGUGGGAAGGCCCAGACAGCCAGGAUGUUGGCUUAGAAGCAGCCAUCAUUUAAAGAAAGCGUAAUAGCUCACUGGUCGAGUCGGCCUGCGCGGAAGAUGUAACGGGGCUAAACCAUGCACCGAAGCUGCGGCAGCGACACUAUGUGUUGUUGGGUAGGGGAGCGUUCUGUAAGCCUGUGAAGGUGUACUGUGAGGUAUGCUGGAGGUAUCAGAAGUGCGAAUGCUGACAUAAGUAACGAUAAAGCGGGUGAAAAGCCCGCUCGCCGGAAGACCAAGGGUUCCUGUCCAACGUUAAUCGGGGCAGGGUGAGUCGACCCCUAAGGCGAGGCCGAAAGGCGUAGUCGAUGGGAAACAGGUUAAUAUUCCUGUACUUGGUGUUACUGCGAAGGGGGGACGGAGAAGGCUAUGUUGGCCGGGCGACGGUUGUCCCGGUUUAAGCGUGUAGGCUGGUUUUCCAGGCAAAUCCGGAAAAUCAAGGCUGAGGCGUGAUGACGAGGCACUACGGUGCUGAAGCAACAAAUGCCCUGCUUCCAGGAAAAGCCUCUAAGCAUCAGGUAACAUCAAAUCGUACCCCAAACCGACACAGGUGGUCAGGUAGAGAAUACCAAGGCGCUUGAGAGAACUCGGGUGAAGGAACUAGGCAAAAUGGUGCCGUAACUUCGGGAGAAGGCACGCUGAUAUGUAGGUGAAGUCCCUCGCGGAUGGAGCUGAAAUCAGUCGAAGAUACCAGCUGGCUGCAACUGUUUAUUAAAAACACAGCACUGUGCAAACACGAAAGUGGACGUAUACGGUGUGACGCCUGCCCGGUGCCGGAAGGUUAAUUGAUGGGGUUAGCGCAAGCGAAGCUCUUGAUCGAAGCCCCGGUAAACGGCGGCCGUAACUAUAACGGUCCUAAGGUAGCGAAAUUCCUUGUCGGGUAAGUUCCGACCUGCACGAAUGGCGUAAUGAUGGCCAGGCUGUCUCCACCCGAGACUCAGUGAAAUUGAACUCGCUGUGAAGAUGCAGUGUACCCGCGGCAAGACGGAAAGACCCCGUGAACCUUUACUAUAGCUUGACACUGAACAUUGAGCCUUGAUGUGUAGGAUAGGUGGGAGGCUUGGAAGUGUGGACGCCAGUCUGCAUGGAGCCGACCUUGAAAUACCACCCUUUAAUGUUUGAUGUUCUAACGUUGACCCGUGAUCCGGGUUGCGGACAGUGUCUGGUGGGUAGUUUGACUGGGGCGGUCUCCUCCUAAAGAGUAACGGAGGAGCACGAAGGUUGGCUAAUCCUGGUCGGACAUCAGGAGGUUAGUGCAAUGGCAUAAGCCAGCUUGACUGCGAGCGUGACGGCGCGAGCAGGUGCGAAAGCAGGUCAUAGUGAUCCGGUGGUUCUGAAUGGAAGGGCCAUCGCUCAACGGAUAAAAGGUACUCCGGGGAUAACAGGCUGAUACCGCCCAAGAGUUCAUAUCGACGGCGGUGUUUGGCACCUCGAUGUCGGCUCAUCACAUCCUGGGGCUGAAGUAGGUCCCAAGGGUAUGGCUGUUCGCCAUUUAAAGUGGUACGCGAGCUGGGUUUAGAACGUCGUGAGACAGUUCGGUCCCUAUCUGCCGUGGGCGCUGGAGAACUGAGGGGGGCUGCUCCUAGUACGAGAGGACCGGAGUGGACGCAUCACUGGUGUUCGGGUUGUCAUGCCAAUGGCACUGCCCGGUAGCUAAAUGCGGAAGAGAUAAGUGCUGAAAGCAUCUAAGCACGAAACUUGCCCCGAGAUGAGUUCUCCCUGACUCCUUGA